GAUGAACGCUGGCGGCGUGCUUAACACAUGCAAGUCGAACGGGCAUAUCUUUCGGGGUAUGUUAGUGGCAGACGGGUGCGUAACACGUAGGUGACCUGCCCUAGAGUGGGGAAUAACUAGUCUAACGACUAGCUAAUACCGCAUGAACUCGGCGAUUCAGUUGGUCGAGUAAAGCUGCAAAGUGCUUUAGGAUGGGCCUGCGGCGGAUUAGGUAGUUGGUGGGGUAACGGCCUACCAAGCCGAUGAUCCGUAGGGGGCGUGAGAGCGUGACCCCCCACACUGGCACUGAGACACGGGCCAGACUCCUACGGGUGGCAG
rnacentral:rRNA from 1 species